rnacentral:lncRNA from 1 species
UACCUGGGCUGGAGCCACCUGUUGCCCAGCGCCUCCCAUCUCACACGGAAUCUGUGACUUCAAACCGCACAGACUCUCUCACGGGGGAAGACUCUCUCCUUGACUGUUCUCUGCUUUCUAACCCUACUGCUGACCUUCUGGACGAGUUUGCCCCCAUAGCACUCUCUGCUUCCACUCAUAAAGCUGCAGAAGAUAGUAAUCUCAUCUCAGGGUUUGGUGUCGCUGAGGGCUCCGAAAAGGUGGCAGAAGAUGAGUUUGACCCUAUUCCUGUACUGAUAACCAAAAACACACAAGGUGGGCACUCUAGGAACAGCAGUGGGAGCUCUGAGUCCAGUCUUCCCAACCUAGCCAGGUCUUUGCUGCUGGUGGAUCAGCUCAUAGACCUGUAGCCGUGAGCCAGGAGCAGACACAGUUCUGUAACCUUCAUGCCGUAAUAUACAUUUUCAUUACGGAGUUAUGAGAAAAAUGAUUUUUUUUUUAAAUCUGCAAAUAAGGGGCCCUCAAGCUCCUUUCUCCUACCCCUUUCCUUCUCCUAUAGAAAUGAUAAGGAAAGAAAAAUCUCUGCCCCUCCAGAUCCAUCCCUUGGCCAGCUCCUCUCGUUAGUGUGCUGUGUUUUCUCAUUCCCCAUCUUCAAUAGCAUUAUCUUAACUCAAGCGCUAACCGCCCUGAGCUUCACCUCUGCUGGAAUCCACUCACAGAAGCUUGGCUGUCACUGAGCCUGUGCUGAACACUUUUUGUCUCAUUCUUGCUAGGAAUGGCCCCGUGUCAGUCCUGUAGCCCGUCUCCCAGAUGCUGAUGAAUGUGUGUCCAUCCUGCUUUUUAUCCUGAUGCACUCAUGAGGACAGGGCAGCUAUGGCUGGUCUCACCCCAGGCAGAAGUCUGGAGAAGGCCAUGCAGUUUCAACAGGGCAGACCCAGUAGGAUGUGUUUGUGAAGAGAAAGUGAGCUCAGCUCUAGCCAGCCAACUUUGACCUUGUUUGAGCCAAGGGAUCUUACACCCCAUGUGCAGCCUUCUUGGCAUUUGUCUAGCUAUCUGGCUUCCAUUGAAUCGUGGUUUCUCAAAUCUAGAGGUGUGACUGCAAGUGUUUGUGAUCCUUGAAUAAAUGUGUAUGUGAUAUAAACACCAAGCAUUGCCAUCCUUCCAUGUUACCUGGCCCAAGCUGGGAUCUCAGAAUCAGACCAAAACAAGACAGUGGUGGGAACAUGAUACCUUUUACUAGAAGACUUUUCAUGGGGGGUGGAGGGGAAGGGAAGGAAUUGUAGCAGAAACAGAUGUAUUUUUCUUGUGAUUUUUUUAUUUUGAAUCAAAUAUUGUAAAUUGUGUAUAAAUGAAGAUGCUGAAUAGUUCUGUUUCCACUUGGCAUUUCAAGUCUGACAUCAGAUGUCUGUACAGGGUUUUGCUCUUUCCUGUGUAUAACCAUAUAGCAGUCCUAGAGUGGUGGAGUUAUGUCUUGCUGGAAGCUUUCAGCAGCCUCUGUCUCUGUAUACCCGGGCAUGUUGUUUAUUUUCAGAUCAUCAGAAAUAAGUGUGCCGGGCACAGUUCGGCUGGCUGCUUACCUUCUCUCUGGUGUUUAAGUCGAAGGCUGAAGCUGAUGAAAUAUGUGCGGCUGGCUUUCCUUGGCUUCCUAGAUUUCAAAGACCAAACAAAGAAUAGUUCUUCACUAACCUUAGACUGUUGUUAUAGAGUUAAAUAGAGGCUCUGCACUUGCUCUACAACAUGCCUCCU